AAAUAACGAAAAUGCAUUAUAAAUGAAUAAUUUAUCAAAUUUAAUAAGAAAUUUCGACAAAAAUAAACACGUAAUCGCUGACGUUGCUCUAAACCGAUCACAAACGAAAAGACGAAGGCAGUUAUCCAUCUAUCGGAGGGAAAUGUAAACAAAGAAUGGCCGAAAAAUCCAGAGAAGGGCAUAGGAUAGUAUUCAUGGGCUCAAACAAACAGCCCAAUUACAUCAUAGAUACGUUCGAUGUUCCUACGGCAUCCGAACUUAAAGAAGGGCAAAUAUUGGUUAAAAUCCUUCUGGCUACCAUAUGCCCCAACGACCUGUUAACUAUAAUAGGUAAAGGGGAGGACACUACACCAUGUCUCUUAGGUCACGAGGGUGUAGCUCAGGUCAUCUGCAGCAAACGUGAUGCUGCCGAGUGUAAAUUAUCACCCGGAGAUAGAGUGGUGUUUACUGCAACCGAAUUUUGCCCGAAGUGCAAGAUGACAUCGUGCCAUCAUUACGCGAAGUAUGGUAAAGCUCCCAUCAACCGCUGUGGUUCCAAUGGUACUUUCUCUACUCAUUUGAUACUCGAAGGUGAUAGAGAUGUGAUCAGGAUAUCGCCUACGUUACCCGACCGCUUGGUCGCGUCAGCUAAUUGCGCGCUUGCAACCAUUAUAGGAGCCGUGCAACCAGUAAUACCAGCUAAAAAGGAUGCCGUUGCGGUUAUACAGGGAGCAGGAUUGUUCGGUAUAUAUUCUUGUGCAGCUCUUUACCGUGGCGGCUACAAAGUUUAUUGCCUGGACGUGAAGGAAGAACGACUCAAACUGGUUCCUAAAUUCGGCGGCAUACCCAUCCUAACAAAAGACAAUCAAACGGGAGAUUGGUACAAAGAAGAUUCUGUAGAUGUUGUUAUCGAAGUCUGUGGUGAUAAAGAAGUCUUCCAAACGGCUUUGAACCUCUUGAGACCAGGCGGCGUAUACAUCCUCAUAGGUCUUUCAGGAAAAGAGGCAGAGUUAUCUCUUCCAGUGGAUAUCUUAAUCAAGAAGUGCCUUACAGUUAGAGGAUGCCAGGGCUAUACAUCAUCCGAUCUGCGACAGGCUAUUGAGUUCCUGGAGCUGACUAGGGAUCAGCAUCCUUACGAGGAAUUGUUAAGUGGUAACUUCAGCAUACAAGAUUUUCAUUAUGCCAUAUCUGCAGCCAAAUCGCAACUCUUUCAUCGCGUAGCUCUAUCUCCUUCUAUGUCGCGCCUUCGUUAUUAACUCUAUUUUUUCGUAACAAAUAAUAAAUAAAUCAGUGUUCUGCUAUUUUUAUUAUCACGUCAUCAGACAAUAAAAAUCCUCAACAAUAGUUCACAGCAAUGGUUCUUUCUCGAUUUACUAAGAUAUACAAUUGCGUGAAAAUCAAUUUUAAGUUAGUGAAUUAUCACAUAGAUUUCUCACUUAAUGAUUUAAAUAUCUUUACCUUUAUUUUCGAAUAUGCCGAAUACUACACAGGAAUAUCUCGAGUCAUGUGGUUCUUAAGUACGUAGUCAUUCUUUAAGAAUUAUCUUAUCGAGUUUAUCCUACAUCUUUAAUUAUUGUUUAGUCUUUUAUGUACUUCUCGUAAUGAGUUUCAUAAUGGAAUAUACAGGAGAAUUAACUUGCACUGCUGCAAUGUGUGUGUAUCCCGCUUUUAUGUCGUGAGUUCUCUGUUUUUAAAUAUUUUUUGUCACUGUAUUUUGAAAUCCUAAAAAUCUUGCCUCUCACAGACUUUACGCUGUCGAAUAUGAAGAAAUCGAAGAACAUUCUAGACUUCUAGUAUUCUGGAUAAUUUUCGCAAUUUUUGUUCUUCUAGAGCAUGCAAUACGGAAUAUUCUUAAUAAAUUAAUAUAUUAUUGGUGUCUUAAAUUUCUUCUCUUUUCAUGGCUGUACUCUUCGUGGUUAAAUUCAUCCUCCAGAUACUUAUAUUAUAACAUAAUUCGUCCCUUUUAUCGGAAAUCUAUAGGAAAUCAGAAAAAGGUGGUUGACAGCAAGAUCAAGGCAUCCAUUUUCGUACGAAGAUCUACCCAGAUGAACUUAUUCAAAACAAGGAAAUCGUUUAAAAUAACGAUGAAAAAUAUUUCGCGCAAUAAAUCUGAAGCUACGACAGCUCCAAAAUUUGUGGAUGAAGAUGAAAGUUACUAAAAAGUCUGAAGAAACUUUUUUCCCUACUUAUAAAUGCACUGAAGGUACGAAUAAUGGUUCCAAUAAACAAAAUUUUGAUUUAAAUUAAAAGUAUGUCGAUAAAUUUCGUUUUAAAGUAAAUUUUCAAGAGUAUUUUGAAUGAAUAAAUUUAUAUUUAGUGCUUUUUAACUUCAUUUUUUAGUUAAGAGAACGUGUAUUGUAUCUAUUUUUAUUUAAUUUAAUAAUUGUUACUACUAAUGAAGUCAUUUUAUCGCUGGAAAUUAU
rnacentral:misc_RNA from 1 species